GACGAACGCUGGCGGCGUGCUUAACACAUGCAAGUCGAACGGUGAAGCGCCUUCCUUUUUGGUGGGUGUGGAUGAGUGGCGAACGGGUGAGUAACACGUGAGUAACCUGCCCCCUUCUUCUGGAUAACCGCAUGAAAGUGUGGCUAAUACGGGAUAUUCUGGGUCUGUCGCAUGAUGGGUCUGGGAAAGAUAUUGUUUCGGUGGGGGAUGGGCUCGCGGCCUAUCAGCUUGUUGGUGGGGUGAUGGCCUACCAAGGCGGUGACGGGUAGCCGGCCUGAGAGGGUUGACGGUCACACUGGGACUGAGACACGGCCAAGACUCCUACGGGAGGCAGCAGUGGGGAAUAUUGCACAAUGGGCGCAAGCCUGAUGCAGCGACGCCGCGUGAGGGAUGGAGGCCUUCGGGUUGUGAACCUCUUUCGCCAGUGAAGCAGGCCUGCCUCGUUUGUGGGUGGGUUGACGGUAGCUGGAUAAGAAGCGCCGGCUAACUACGUG
rnacentral:rRNA from 1 species